rnacentral:lncRNA from 1 species
CUGUGUGAAGGAAUAUGCUUAUGUUAAGCCUCGAAUUGAGGCCAUACACGUGGCAUCAUCUCAGGAGCUCACCUAAAGAGCUAUUUGUGAUCAAAGAUGAAAUGAGGAAGUAAAGGGAAGGACACAUGGUAAAGAUGGGUAUGGAGGAUAAGCUUUUUGUGUGGAGGUGAAGCUGGGUAUUUACCUAUAAAAGGAUACAAGAAUGAACAGAGAAAGAACUAUUACUUUUUAAAUGGAACUAUGGAAGAGAGAGAACCUUUGGACCUCUAGAAACGACUUCUACUCUUCUGGGAACUUUAUUUCUUGGGAUUUUUGUAGAGCUCCUGUGUAGAAAGGGGAAAUAUGAGUUUGAGAAGGUUCCAUUCUGGGAAACAGAGAGUGAAUUAAGGAGAGAUCUCAAUUUCAGUCUGGGUUCUACUUUUUUUAGUGAAAUCUAAGGAGGGAGUUGUGAGGAGGUUGCAACUAUUACAACUGGAGAUUGCAAUAGAUUCCUUGGUUAUAAUUCUGCUCCUUAUGGUAAACCUCAAUCCGAGGCAAAAAAUCUUUUCAGGAAGAGAUGUUAUACAGAACUAAAUCAGCUCAAGACAAAUCAAAAGACAAGGAAAUCAGGGAGUACCAAAUCUUGGUGUUGUUGCAUGCUCUGCCAGAGAUACUACCCUUCAACCAUGUCUUGAAGUUUCUCCAACUUUUGAGUUUCUCCAUCAUGGCAAGAAUAGGAAGAAUGGUCCUACAAAUUCUUCUUGUUUGCUGCUCUUCCUAAACCAGAUUGCCUCUCAAUGAAAAUGAAGAAGAUACAAUCCUGUUAUCCAUGUGCUCCAGAACAUUUAGAUUCCCAAGACCUAAAGACUCGAGAGAAGAGAAUUGACUGGCUAUUAGAUGGAUUCAGUAAAAUUUGUUCCUUGCUCAAGUGGUAUGUUGUCGUUUUA